UCGAACCCGGGCCGCGGCGGUGAGAGCGCCGAAUCCUAACCACUAGACCACCAGGGAGCACCGAGUAACACACCUGCGCAUCCUCACACCACCUCACCGCACCCCAAGGCGACUCUUCUCCACGCACCCCAAACUCGCUCCCCUUCUGCGUGGCAACCCCCUGACGGUCAGUCCGCUCACACCGAGGCGGCUCCGCAGGCCACACGUAGCCCAGCGUGUGCCCCGCCUGAGGGGAGCCCCACGGUCCAACGCCCCAAAAGCUGUGCGCUGGCUCGGGACAGCCGACCCGAGAGCUCAGAGUCUGUCAGGGCUGAGGGGGCGCGGGUGCCUGGAGGCUCUCGCGAGAAGACCCUGUAAGAGCGAGCGAGAGGGGCGGGAUCUCGAUCUGGAUGCGCCCGCGAGCUCACUGGUGCUGAGCACCCAGAUGGCCGAGCGCUCUAGAUGGCAUUAGCUCUCGUCGCAUCUCUCCUGUCGGUGUUGGUUUGAAUCUUGCUUUUGGCAGCUUUGUCCUUUCCUCUUUCUUACUCCACCUAGGACGCCGGUAUUCUCAGCUUAAGGCAGCAGGCCGUGAUCGCUUUUCGUUCCCUUCCUGGUUUCCUUUCACUUUUGUCGCCUCUCUGCAACCUCAGUCUAGCUCCCAUCUUAGAUUCGCCCCCCCCCCCCAACCCACAGUGCCCAGCGACUGGCGAAACGCAUCAGAGGAAAUGUCACCAGAAUCUGUCUUCGUCAGGCCCACACUGUCGGCAAGCAGCUUCUCUGUGCGGUUCUCUGACUGUAGCGGUUGGAUCCUAACCUCCAGUGGACCAGAGAGGGCAAGGGACAGUCCCUGAGCCUCCUCACACAUCCCACUGCACCCCCUAGUCUAUGCAUCCACCCCCUCAGGAAACUUGGGCAAACCCCUUUCAUCUGGCUGGCGUCCCAACUCUGCACCUAGAGCGACCCAUCAGCAGCUCUGCGAUAGCACUGUCACUUGCGUUACAAAGCGAAAAAGGAAGGAAGAAAGAAAGAAGAAAGAGUCGCACUGUUUCUCCUCCCGCAGACAGCAGGCUUGUUGAGAAGCAGCGACCAAACAAGACAGGAGGUUAUAAUGCACCUAUGGUACCUGAGAUUAAUAAUUUAAAAAAAGACAAUUGAAAUCUCCCCGUCGGGGAAUCGAACCCCGGUCUCCCGCGUGACAGGCGGGGAUACUUACCACUAUACUAACGAGGAAAUGACGGGAAUGUUGUUGACACUCAUUUCCUCCUGGUUGGAUUCUCUGGCUGUACAGGGCCCCGGUGGAACCUCACGGAUCCCCAGCACCACCACAGCUAAGACUAUGUGUAACAUACACCCGGGGGAGUCGGUGAGGAGCAGGGGCUUGAAUCUAGAUCCUUGUGCAUGGCAAUAUGUACACUCUACCAGGACCUGGAUGUUAGACCAGAAACUAUCAAAUACUUAAAGGAAAACAUUGAUGGAACAUUUUCCCACCUAAACCUCAAGGACAUCUUGGAUGAAACAAACCCAAUUGCAAGGAAGACUAACGCAGAAACAAACCAGUGGGACUACAUCAAAUUGAAAAGCUUCUGCACAGCCAAAGAAACUAUCACACAAACAAAGAGACCCCUCACAGAAUGGGAGAAGAUCUUCACAUGCCAUACAUCAGACAAGAGACUAAUCACUAAAAUAUACAAAGAGCUCAGAAAACUUAGCACCAAAAAAGCAAAUGACCCCAUCCAAAAAUGGGCAGAGCAUAUGAACAAAAUAUUCACUUCAGAGGAGAUCCAAAAGGCUAACAAACAUAAAAAAUUGCUCCAGGUUGCUGA